rnacentral:rRNA from 1 species
GACGAACGCUGGCGGCGUGCUUAACACAUGCAAGUCGAACGGAAAGGCCCUGCGUUUGUGGGGUGCUCGAGUGGCGAACGGGUGAGUAACACGUGUGUAACCUGCCCUUGACUUUGUGAGAACUUCAGGAAAAUGGGGCUAAUACCGGAGAUGAUCUCCUGCUGCAUGUGGGGGGUUGGAAAAUUUCGGCGGUGCUGGAUGGACUCGCGGCUUAUCCGCUUGUUGGUGGGGUAGUGGCUUACCAAGGCUUCGACGGGUAGCCCGCCUGAGAGGGUGACCGGCCACAUUGCGACUGAGAUACGCACCAGUCUCCUAUGGGAGGCAGCAGUGGGGAAUAUGGCACAAUGGGCGGAAGCCUGAUGCAGCAACGCUGCGUGCGUGAUGACGUCCUUCGGGUGGUAAACAGAUUUCGAAGGUGACGAAGCGGGAGUGACGGUAACGGGUAAAGAAGCACCGGCUAACUACGUG